ensembl:snRNA U6 U6 spliceosomal RNA
GUACUCACUUGGGCAGCUCAUAUAUUAAAGUUGGAAUGAUACAGAGAAGAUUAGCAUGGCCCUUGUGCAAAGAUGACAAGCAAAUUCAUGAAGCACUCCAUAAAAAA